ensembl:misc_RNA
CUGACAGCCUAGAGACUGAAGGCCUCUGUUUAUCCACAGAACGGGUGCAGAUCGGACAGUGGAAGAACAAGCUCCUACUCACUGCCCCACCAACGUGGCUCAGACUGUCCAAGAGUGAUCAAAUCAAGGGGCCAUAGGGUACUUCCAUCUCCAUGGUCUAUUCACUCCUGGGUUCCU